rnacentral:rRNA from 1 species
AUUGAACGCUGGCGGCAGGCCUAACACAUGCAAGUCGAGCGGCAGCGGGACCUUCGGGUCGCCGGCGAGCGGCGGACGGGUGAGUAAUGCCUAGGAAUCUGCCUGUUAGUGGGGGAUAACGCGGGGAAACUCGCGCUAAUACCGCAUACGUCCUACGGGAGAAAGUGGGGGACCCUCGGGCCUCACGCUAACAGAUGAGCCUAGGUCGGAUUAGCAAGUUGGUGGGGGAAAGGCCCACCAAGGCGACGAUCCGUAACUGGUCUGAGAGGAUGAUCAGUCACACUGGAACUGAGACACGGUCCAGACUCCUACGGGAGGCAGCAGUGGGGAAUAUUGGACAAUGGGCGAAAGCCUGAUCCAGCCAUGCCGCGUGUGUGAAGAAGGUCUUCGGAUUGUAAAGCACUUUAAGUUGGGAGGAAGGGCGCUCGGUGAAUACCCAGGCGUCUUGACGUUACCGACAGAAUAAGCACCGGCUAACUUCGUGCCAGCAGCCGCGGUAAGAC